rnacentral:rRNA from 1 species
UACGUAGGGCGCAAGCGUUGUCCGGAAUUAUUGGGCGUAAAGAGCUCGUAGGCGGUUUGUCGCGUCUGCUGUGAAAACUCGAGGCUCAACCUCGGGCUUGCAGUGGGUACGGGCAGACUAGAGUGCGGUAGGGGUGACUGGAAUUCCUGGUGUAGCGGUGAAAUGCGCAGAUAUCAGGAGGAACACCGGCGGCGAAGGCGGGUCUCUGGGCCAUAACUGACGCUGAGGAGCGAAAGCGUGGGGAGCGAACAGG